UCUUUAGCAAAAAAAGCACAAAUCUUUCUUUUUAUUCAGAGCCAAGCAUCAUCUUGUAUAUGUGCAUUUACAGCAUUAGCAGUAUCUCUGGAUCCAACUAUUUAAUUGUGAGGAUCCACUUUGAAUAGUUUGUGUUUGGGGUUAAGAGUCAUGUUUUCUGUCCACUUGAGGCACAACUUCCUUUUUAAAUUUUUGACUCUUUGAGAACUUUUAAAGUGGGAAUCAGAAAGAAAUUUAUACUGUCUUGAUAGAUACCUUAAGACUGUCUGUCCACCAGAUGUCACCCUGACUUCUUAAGAGCCAUAGAAAACAAAAGAGCUAGACUUCCUUGUUUGUUAUUUUUGACAGUGCAUAUAUAAACUGAUGAUAGAUUAAGUCUUAAAUAGGGGCCGGGACAGGUGGGAUUGGAAAAAAAAAAACCAAGGUUUAUUUCCUUAUAUAUGUGAGACGGAGUUUCUCUUUUGUUGCCCAGGCUGGAGUGCAAUGAUCUCGGCUCACUGCAACCUCUGCCUCCUGGGUUCAAGCGAUUCUUCUGCCUCAGCCUCUGGAGUAGCUGGGAUUACAGGUGAGUGCCACCAUGCCCGGCUGAUUUUUUGUGUUUUUAGUAGAGACACAGUUUCACCAUGUUGGCCAGGCUGGUCUCGAAGUCCUGCCCUCAGGUGAUACAGCCACCUCGGCCUCCUAAAGUGCUGGGAUUACAGGCGUGAGCUACCACACCCGGCCUUUAUUUUUUUGAUUUUAUUAAUUCAACUUUUAUUUUAGAUGCAGUGGGUGCAUGUGCAGAUUUGUUGCAUGGGAAUAUUGCUUGGUGCUGAGGUAUGGAGUAGGAAUCUCAAAAAUUACCGAGAUAGUGAGCAUAGUACCUGACAGGUAGAUUUCUAACCCACCCCUCCACCCUGUAGUAUUCCAUGGUGUCUAUUGUUCCCAUGUUUAUGUCCAUGUGUCCUCAAUAAAACCCAAGUCUUUAUGUUUCUCCAAAUCCCUGCUUACCUGAGAGAGGCAGCACCUUUCUAGAUAACACUGUCAAUUCAACUUUCCUUUCACUGCUUAGUUAUAGUUUUAAAAGUACUCUCAGUUAAAUUCACAAUUCAAUUUACAAAACUUUUGCAAAUAACCUAAAGUACAUGGCCAUUCUGCAGAUCACAUAAGGCUUCUCUUAAUUUCAGUGAAACAUCUAUUUAGACAUCAUUCACGGUGAUAGUCUUUGAUGGAGGACCAUUGACACAACUUCCAAUCAAGUCAGACUGCUGGGUGGUCUCACAAACAAGCAACAUGUGUUUUGCUUUUACUAGUCUCUAUUAUUACAAAUAACAUUUUUCACUGUCAACAAUUAGCAUCCUUUUAUUCUGCUCUAAUUUCCCCUUCUUUUAAGGAUUCAUCUAUUGUGAGCUUUAAUUGGUGUAUGGGCGUGUGUGAGUGCUCAUACACUCUAUAAUAACAAACCAGAACUGCCCUUUCUCAUCAGAGAUUUUCUACUAUCUUCCAAACCGUGUACUUUGAUAUUUUAAUUGUUUACAGCCGGGCACAGUGGCGCGCGCCUGUAAUCCCAGCUACUCGGAAGGCUGAGGUGGAAGAAUUACCUGAGCCCAGGAGGUGGAGACUACAGUGAGCAGAGAUUGUACCACUGGCACUCCAGCCUGGGCAACAGAGUACCACUGCACUCCAGCCUGUAAAACAGAGACCCUGUUUCAAAAUAAUUAAGUGUGGAUAAAGAACCAAAACUUAUGUAGCAUCUACCGUAUGUCAGGCACUUUAUAUAUAUGAUCCAAAUAUGAGUUAAAGUCUUCUUUGUUUUCUGAGAGAUUUGCCCCUGAUUGAUAGAAAAUCCCAACCUGGUUGGGUGCCAUGGCUCACGCCUUGUAAUCCCAACACUUUGGGAGGUCAAGGCAGGAGGAUUGCUUGAACUCAGGGGUUCAAGACCAGCCUGGACAACAUAGUGAGACUUUGUCUCUAUAAAAGAAAAAAGAAAAAAAGAAAAUCCCAUCCCAUGCAGAGUGAGAAAACAUCUGCCUGAGAAUUCUUUUUCUUUUUUUCUUUCUUUUUUUUUAAGACAGAGCUUUGAUCUUUCGCCCAGGCUGGAGUGCAGUGGCACAAUCUCAGCUCAUUCCAACCUCCACCUCCCAGGUUCAAGUGAUUCUCCCGCCUCAGCCUUGGAAGUAGCUGGGAGUACAGGUGUGUGCCACCAUGCCCUGGCUAAUUUUUGUAUUUUAAUAGAGAUAGGGUUUCACUACGAUGGCCAGGCUGGUCUCGAAUUCCUGGGAUCAAGUGAUCCACCCUCCUCGGCAUCCCAGAGUGCUAGGAUUACAGGCGUGAGCCACUGUACCCAGCCUGUCUGAGAAUUCUUUUUUUGACAUCAUUCCUGGGCUAAUUUUAUUUUUGGUGGAGAUAGGGUUUCACUAUGUUGCCCAGGCUGGUCUUGAGCUCCUGGUCUUGAGUGAUCGUCCUGCCUCAGCCUCCCAAAGUGCUGGAAUUACAGGCAUGAGCCACUGUGCCUGGCCCAUCUGAGAAUUCUUGUUGGCAGAGAGAGUGGUGGAUGGCUCAGUUUUCUUGCUUGCUUGCUUGCUUGCUUGCUUGUCUUUCUUCCUGUCUUUCUUUCUUUUUCUAUUAAA
rnacentral:lncRNA from 1 species